CUGAAGACGCCAAGACGGCCCUACACUCACCCGGGGACAAAAGACUUAGUCCUAACCUUACCAUUAGUUCUUGCUAGAUAUAUACAUGCAAGUAUCCGCACUCCAGUGUAAAUGCCCUUGACUCCUACGCCGUAGGUAAAAGGAGCCGGCAUCAGGCACGCCCAUGGCAGCCCAAGACGCCUUGCUUAGCCACACCCCCACGGGUACUCAGCAGUAAUUAACAUUAAGCAAUGAGUGUAAACUUGACUUAGUCAUAGCAACUCAGGGUUGGUAAAUCUUGUGCCAGCCACCGCGGUCACACAAGAGACCCAAGCUAAUCGUUUGCGGCGUAAAGAGUGGACUCAUGCUUAUCACACUAACUAAGGUCAAAACGCAACUGAGCUGUCAUAAGCCUAAGAUGCAUUUAAAACCGCCCUAAAGAUGACCCUAAAUUCACAAGACUUAAUGAACUCCACGAAAGCCAGGGCACAAACUGGGAUUAGAUACCCCACUAUGCCUGGCCCUAAAUCUUGAUGCUCUAUAUAACCAAAGCAUCCGCCUGAGAACUACGAGCACAAACGCUUAAAACUCUAAGGACUUGGCGGUGCCCCAAACCCACCUAGAGGAGCCUGUUCUGUAAUCGAUACUCCACGAUACACCCGACCACUUCUUGCCAUGGACAGCCUACAUACCGCCGUCGCCAGCUCACCUCCUCUGAGAGCACUACAGUGAGCACAACCGCCCUAACCCCGCUAACAAGACAGGUCAAGGUAUAGCUUAUGAAGUGGAAGAAAUGGGCUACAUUUUCUAAUCUAGAAAAUCCCACGAAAAGGGGCAUGAAAUAGCCCCUAGAAGGCGGAUUUAGCAGUAAAGAGGGAUAAUAUAAGCCCCCUUUAAGCUGGCUCUGGGGCACGUACAUACCGCCCGUCACCCUCCUCAUAAGCUCUAAACUACCAAUAAAUAAUACUCCUACCUGCUAAAGAUGAGGUAAGUCGUAACAAGGUAAGUGUACCGGAAGGUGCACUUAGCACACCAAGACGUAGCUACAAUGUAAAGCAUUCAGCUUACACCUGAAAGAUGCCUGCCACACACCAGGUCGUCUUGAAGCCAACUCUAGCCCAACCCCCCACGACAACCGCACAUAAAAAUCUACUAAAUCUUUAAAUCAAAACAUUCUUCCAACUAAGUAUAGGCGAUAGAAAAGUCAUUAGGCGCUAUAGAGAUCUGUACCGCAAGGGAGAGAUGAAAUAACAAUGAACUAAGCCGAGCAAUAAACAGCAAAGAUAAACCCUUGUACCUCUUGCAUUAUGGUCUAGCUAGAAUAACCAAGCAAAGUGGACUUAAGCUUGCCACCCCGAAACCUAAGCGAGCUACUUGUAAGCAGCUAACCCUGAGCGAACCCGUCUCUGUUGCAAAAGAGUGGGACGACUUACUAGUAGAGGUGAAAAGCCAAUCGAGCUAGGUGAUAGCUGGUUACCUGCAAAACGAAUCUAAGUUCACCCUUGACACCUCCUCCAGGAGCCCUUACCACAACCCCAAUGUAGGUCAUCAAGAGUAAUUUAAAGGAGGUACAGCUCCUUUAAAAAAGGAUACAACCUUCACUAGCGGAUAAUUACAGCCUUACAUAACAAUUGUGGGCCUUUAAGCAGCCAUCAGUAAAGAGUGCGUCAAAGCUCCCCUUUACAAAAAUCCUAAAUCCGUAUGACUCCCUCCCCACUAGCAGGUCAACCUAUACUAAUAGGAGAGUUAAUGCUAAAAUGAGUAACUAGGGCAAACCCCCUCUUAAGCGCAAACUUACAUCUACACAUUAUUAACAGGCACCUAAUACUCACACUACAACAAGACUACGUAUUACAUCCCCUGUUAUCCCAACCCAGGAGCGCAUGCUAGAAAGAUUGAAAUCUGUAAAAGGAACUAGGCAAAUCUCCAAGGCCCGACUGUUUACCAAAAACAUAGCCUUCAGCCAAACGAGUAUUGAAGGUGAUGCCUGCCCAGUGACUUUGUUCAACGGCCGCGGUAUCCUAACCGUGCGAAGGUAGCGCAAUCAAUUGUCUCAUAAAUUGAGACUUGUAUGAAUGGCUAAACGAGGUCUUAACUGUCUCUUGCAGAUAAUCAGUGAAAUUGAUCUUCCUGUGCAAAAGCAGGAAUAAACACAUAAGACGAGAAGACCCUGUGGAACUUAAAAAUCAGCAGCCACCUCGCAACAAAACUUAACCUACUAGGCUCACCAGACAUGAUGCUGGCUCGCAUUUUUCGGUUGGGGCGACCUUGGAGAAAAACAAAACCUCCAAAAAUAAGACCACCCCUCUUAACUAAGAGCAACCCCUCAACGUACUAACAGUAACCAGACCCAAUAUAAUUGACCAAUGGACCAAGCUACCCCAGGGAUAACAGCGCAAUCUCCUCCAAGAGUCCAUAUCGACGAGGAGGUUUACGACCUCGAUGUUGGAUCAGGACAUCCUAAUGGUGCAGCCGCUAUCAAGGGUUCGUUUGUUCAACGAUUAAUAGUCCUACGUGAUCUGAGUUCAGACCGGAGCAAUCCAGGUCGGUUUCUAUCUAUGUCGUACUUUUCCCAGUACGAAAGGACCGGAAAAGUGAGGCCAAUGAUUCAACACAUGCCUCCUCCCUAAGUAAUGAAUACAACUAAAUUACAAAGAGAUCCCACACAGUACCCAAUCCUAGAAAAGGAUCGCUAGCGUGGCAGAGUUUGGUAAAUGCAAAAGGCUUAAGCCCUUUACCCAGAGGUUCAAGUCCUCUCCCUAGCUCACUACCUUCCAUGUUUAUAACCUACCUCAUUAUAUCACUAUCGUACGCAGUACCAAUCCUAAUCGCCGUAGCAUUCCUGACUCUAGUGGAACGAAAAGUUCUAAGCUACAUGCAAGCUCGAAAAGGCCCUAACAUUGUAGGGCCUUUCGGGCUCCUCCAACCAGUGGCAGAUGGUGUCAAACUAUUCAUUAAAGAACCCAUCCGCCCAUCCACCUCCUCCCCAAUUCUUUUUAUCAUGACCCCCAUUCUAGCCCUGCUCUUAGCCAUUACAAUCUGAAUUCCUCUCCCCCUCCCCUUCUCCCUCACCGACCUUAACUUGGGCCUCCUCUUUCUUCUAGCCAUAUCAAGCCUAGCAGUCUACUCCAUCCUAUGAUCUGGCUGAGCCUCCAACUCAAAGUACGCACUCAUUGGGGCACUACGAGCAGUAGCACAAACCAUCUCCUAUGAAGUAACACUAGCCAUCAUUCUUCUAUCCGUGAUUAUAUUAAGUGGAAAUUACACUCUCAAUACCCUUGCCACCACCCAAGAACCCAUAUACCUCAUCUUCUCCUCCUGACCCCUCGCAAUAAUGUGAUACAUCUCCACCCUUGCCGAAACUAAUCGAGCCCCAUUCGACCUUACCGAAGGAGAAUCCGAACUAGUCUCUGGCUUCAACGUAGAAUAUGCCGCAGGCCCAUUCGCCCUUUUCUUCCUGGCCGAAUAUGCUAACAUCAUACUAAUAAACACCAUAACUGCCAUCCUCUUCCUAAACCCAAGUUCAUUAAACCUACCCCCUGAACUAUACCCCCUAAUUCUAGCCACAAAAACUCUUCUUCUCUCCUCUGGAUUCCUUUGAGUCCGUGCCUCUUACCCACGAUUCCGCUACGAUCAGCUCAUACAUCUCCUCUGAAAAAAUUUCCUACCCUUAACCCUAGCCCUGUGCCUAUGACACACUAGCAUGCCCAUCUCCUAUGCAGGCCUUCCACCCUACCUAAGAAAAACACCCCAACAAAUGGAAAUGUGCCUGAACUCAAGGGUCACUAUGAUAAAGUGAACAUAGAGGUACACUAACCCUCUCAUUUCCUUCACCUUAGAAAAGCAGGAUUCGAACCUACACAAAAGAGAUCAAAACUCCUCAUACUUCCUCUAUAUUAUUUUCUAGCAGGGUCAGCUAAUAAAGCUAUCGGGCCCAUACCCCGAAAAUGAUGGUUUAACCCCUUCCCCUACUAAUGAACCCGCACGCCAUAUUAGUUUCAACCCUAAGCCUACUCUUAGGAACAACCAUCACCAUUUCAAGCAACCACUGGGUCAUAGCUUGAACCGGACUAGAAAUUAACACUCUUGCAAUCAUCCCAUUUAUCUCCAAACCUCACCACCCACGAGCUAUUGAAGCCACAAUCAAAUACUUCCUAGUACAAGCAACAGCAUCAGCCCUACUCUUAUUCUCGAGUAUGUCCAAUGCCUGAGCCACUGGACAAUGAGAUAUUACCCAACUCACCCACCCAACAUCAUGCAUUCUACUUACAAUUGCAAUCUCCAUAAAGCUAGGACUAGUACCAUUCCACUUUUGAUUCCCAGAAGUACUUCAAGGUUCAUCCAUAACCACAGCACUACUACUAUCCACAGCCCUAAAACUUCCCCCAAUUACCAUCCUCCUCAUAACAUCCCACUCACUAAACCCAACUCUACUGACCAUUAUGGCUAUCUCCUCAGCAGCCCUGGGAGGCUGAAUAGGACUCAAUCAAACUCAAAUCCGAAAAAUCUUAGCCUUCUCCUCCAUCUCCCACAUAGGAUGAAUAGUGGUCAUCAUCAUUUACAACCCAAACCUCACCCUUCUAACCUUCUACCUCUAUACCCUUAUAACCACCACUGUAUUCCUCACUCUUAGCACCACUAAAACACUAAAACUAACAACAAUGAUAACCUCGUGAACAAAAACCCCCAUACUAAACGCAACAUUAAUAAUAACCCUACUCUCACUAGCGGGCCUUCCACCACUAACAGGCUUCUUACCUAAAUGACUCAUCAUUCAAGAGCUUACCAAGCAAGAAAUAACCUUAACAGCCACAAUCAUGGCUAUGCUUUCUCUACUUGGGCUAUUCUUCUACCUCCGCCUUGCAUACUACUCGACAAUCACUCUGCCCCCCAACACUACAAACCACAUAAAACAGUGGCACACCAACAAAACCACAAGCACCCCAGUUGCCAUCCUAACCUCAUUAGCCACCCUGCUCCUGCCACUCUCCCCCAUAAUUCUCACAACCCUUUAAGAAACUUAGGAUCGACCCAAACCAAAGGCCUUCAAAGCCUUAGACAAGAGUUAAACCCUCUUAGUUUCUGCUAAGACUCGCAGGACAUUAACCUGCAUCCCCUGAAUGCAACUCAGAUGCUUUAAUUAAGCUAGAACCUUGACUAGACAGAUGGGCCUCGAUCCCAUAAACUCCUGGUUAACAGCCAGACGCCUAAACCAACAGGCUUCUAUCUAUUAGACUCCGGCACUCUUAACGUGCAUCAAUGAGCUUGCAACUCAACAUGAAACUUUCACUACAGAGUCGAUAAGAAGAGGAAUUUAACCUCUGUAAAAAGGACUACAGCCUAACGCUUCAUACACUCAGCCAUCUUACCUGUGACCCUAAUCAAUCGAUGAUUAUUCUCUACUAACCACAAAGACAUCGGCACCCUAUACCUAAUCUUCGGCGCAUGGGCCGGCAUAGUUGGCACCGCACUUAGCCUCCUCAUCCGAGCAGAACUGGGACAACCCGGUACCCUCCUAGGAGAUGACCAGAUCUAUAAUGUAAUCGUCACAGCCCAUGCCUUCGUAAUAAUCUUCUUUAUAGUUAUACCAAUCAUAAUUGGGGGCUUUGGAAACUGAUUAGUUCCCCUCAUAAUUGGUGCCCCCGACAUAGCAUUCCCCCGGAUGAACAACAUAAGCUUCUGGCUCCUACCCCCAUCCUUCCUUCUACUUCUAGCCUCCUCCACAGUCGAAGCUGGUGCAGGAACAGGAUGAACCGUCUACCCUCCCCUAGCUGGCAACCUAGCUCACGCCGGAGCCUCUGUAGACCUUGCCAUCUUCUCCCUUCACCUUGCUGGUAUCUCCUCUAUUCUAGGGGCCAUCAACUUCAUCACAACUGCCAUUAACAUAAAACCCCCAGCCCUCUCACAAUACCAAACCCCACUAUUCGUCUGAUCCGUCCUCAUCACUGCCGUCCUCCUUUUACUAUCCCUCCCAGUACUUGCCGCCGGCAUCACAAUACUGCUCACAGACCGAAACCUAAACACUACCUUCUUUGAUCCUGCUGGUGGAGGGGACCCAGUACUAUACCAACAUCUCUUCUGAUUCUUUGGUCAUCCUGAAGUCUAUAUCCUAAUUUUACCAGGAUUCGGGAUUAUCUCCCACGUAGUGGCCUACUACGCAGGUAAAAAAGAACCCUUCGGCUACAUAGGCAUAGUAUGAGCCAUGCUAUCUAUUGGCUUCCUAGGCUUUAUCGUUUGAGCUCACCAUAUAUUUACAGUAGGCAUGGACGUAGACACCCGAGCAUACUUCACAUCAGCCACUAUAAUCAUUGCCAUCCCAACGGGCAUUAAAGUCUUCAGCUGACUAGCCACUCUCCAUGGCGGGACUAUCAAAUGAGACCCCCCAAUAUUAUGAGCCCUAGGCUUCAUCUUCCUCUUCACCAUUGGAGGCCUUACAGGAAUUGUCCUAGCAAACUCCUCCCUAGACAUUGCUCUACACGACACAUACUACGUAGUCGCUCACUUCCACUAUGUCCUCUCAAUAGGAGCUGUCUUCGCUAUUCUAGCAGGAUUCACUCAUUGAUUCCCACUAUUCACAGGAUAUACCCUCCACCCCACAUGAGCUAAAGCCCAUUUCGGAGUAAUAUUCACCGGCGUCAACUUAACAUUCUUCCCCCAACACUUCCUCGGCCUUGCUGGCAUACCACGACGAUACUCAGACUACCCAGACGCCUACACCCUGUGAAACACUAUCUCCUCUAUCGGAUCAUUAAUCUCAAUAACAGCCGUAAUCAUACUAAUAUUCAUCAUCUGAGAAGCCUUCGCAUCAAAACGCAAAGUACUACAACCAGAACUUACCUCCACCAACAUCGAGUGAAUCCACGGCUGCCCACCUCCAUACCACACCUUCGAGGAACCAGCCUUCGUCCAAGUACAAGAAAGGAAGGAAUCGAACCCUCGUACGCUGGUUUCAAGCCAACCGCAUCAAACCACUUAUGCUUCUUUCUUAU